AGCGAACGCUGGCGGCAGGCCUAACACAUGCAAGUCGAGCGGCCGUAGCAAUACGGCAGCGGCAGACGGGAGAGUAACACGUGGGAACGCGCCCUUCGGUUCGGGAUAACUCAGGGAAACUUGGGCUAAUACCGGAUACGCCCUUACGGGGAAAGAUUUAUUGCCGAAGGAACGGCCCGCGUCCGAUUAGCUUGUUGGUGAGGUAACGGCUCACCAAGGCGACGAUCGGUAGCUGGUCUGAGAGGAUGACCAGCCUCACUGGGACUGAGACACGGCCCGGACUCUUACGGGAGGCAGCAGUGGGGAAUAUUGGACAAUGGGCGCAAGCCUGAUCCAGCCAUGCCGCGUGGGUGAUGAAGGCCCUAGGGUUGUAAAGCCCUUUCAGCGGGGAAGAUAAUGACGGUACCCGCAGAAGAAGCCCCGGCUAACUUCGUGCCAGCCGCCGCAGUAAAAC
rnacentral:rRNA from 1 species